CAUAUGGUAGGCACUGAUGCGUCAUUUGUGACGCUGGUGCACUUUCCCAGGAGUUCCCCUUCUCCGCGCCGGCGCGUUAGAUUCAGCAUCUCCUAGAGGGAUGCUCUUCUUCUGCGCAGACGCGGUCCCUGUGGUUCCUAUGGGUAAUCCCCAUGACAUCUGCCGUGAAUACCACGCCCAUCUUAGAGUGAGGAGCUGCCCCCUACUCAGCUGUGUAUCAUCUCACUCUGAUUGAGGGCAGCUUAUUAGUGAGCCGCACAGCUGAUGUGUCAGCGUGAGCUCUGCCAGAGGAAUCAUUCCUUGGUAUACAGAGGCAACAGCAGGUCAUAGUAUCUGGACUAUUCAGUUCUCCUGGGCAAUUUAUCUGCCCUAUUCCCGGCAGUUAUUAUUGCAACUAGAAUCAGUAUAGUAUUGACAGAAAUCUCUUGGGAUGAAUUAUAUCCAUCUCUUCUGAGACUACCUCAUCAUCAAUCUUCCCAUUUUUUCUAUCAUCAUUUUAAUCAGUACCUGCUUGCCUCCGGCUCCUCUUCCUCUAUAGGCUUGCAUCCAGGCUCUGUGCAUUGCACGGCGUUCCUACCCGCAUGCUUAAGAGGAUCAUUUCCUCUUUUUCCCAUCCCUCCUUCCAUCUAUCUGGGAUUCUCCAUCUGGGACUUUGAGCCAAUCACGGCCAAUCAUUCAGGUUUUUUUAGUCCACUUUUACAGACUACUGCCCCCCAUUGGUUCCUGACGAAGCCCC